UCGCAUGCUCCCGGCCGCCAUGGCGGCCGCGGGAAUUCGAUUGGUAUUACCGCGGCUGCUGGCACGGAGUUAGCCAGAGCUUAUUCUCCCGGUACUGUCAUUAUCAUCCCGGGUAAAAGAGCUUUACAACCCUAAGGCCUUCAUCACUCACGCGGCAUUGCUGGAUCAGGCUUUCGCCCAUUGUCCAAUAUUCCCCACUGCUGCCUCCCGUAGGAGUCUGGGCCGUGUCUCAGUCCCAGUGUGGCUGGUCAUCCUCUCAGACCAGCUACGGAUCGUCGCCUUGGUAGGCUUUUACCCCACCAACUAGCUAAUCCGACGUAGGCUCACCCCAGAGCGCAAGGCCUUUCGGUCCCCUGCUUUUGAUCUCUCGAUAUCAUGUGGUAUUAGCCCGAGUUUCCUCGGGUUAUCCCACGCUCCAGGACAGAUUCCUACGUGUUACUCACCCGUCCGCCACUCGCCACCCCAUAAAGACCGAAAUCUUUACUGUGCUGCCGUUCGACUUGCAUGUGUUAGGCAUGCCGCCAGCGUUCAAUCUGAGCCAUGAUCAAACUCUAAUCACUAGUGAAUUCGCGGCCGCCUGCAGGUCGACCAUAU
rnacentral:rRNA from 1 species